rnacentral:tRNA from 1 species
CAGAGUGUGGCUAAGAUAGUUAAAGCACCUCCCUUACACUGAGAAAACACCCGUGCAACUCGGGUCACCCUGA